rnacentral:lncRNA from 1 species
UGUUUUAUGGACAACAAUGCACACGCAUCACCGUUUCGUUGAGGAGCUAAAAAAUUCAAAAUCAUCACAGGCUAGACACAGAGACGGAUAAAGGGGGGGUGUCACAUUUUAAAGGAGAGGGACGAAAUUCAUAAUAAAAAAAAUAUUAUCUCUCUCCAAAAGCAAAAAAAGUGGGAACAGAUGGAAAUAUACUCAUAAUUAUUUUAACGUUUUUUCUUAAUGAAUACCAAAUAAACUCAUUCCUCACUUCCUUCUACAACCGUCGCAGUAACAAUGACUCCAUCUCACUUUCUUCAACCCUCUACCUUGUUUGUUGUUCAACCUUUUCCUUCCCCCACUCAUCAACCUUUAGGUCACCCAUUUUAAAUCGCCGACCACCAACCUUUUAUUUCAUACAUUUCUAUUUCUCGAAGAACAACAACUUCAACAACACUCACCACCGCCACAAUCACGCAGCAGUACAAACUGCUUAUUCACUCACCAAAACCGCAUGUCACCUUGAGCAGCAACGAGUCUGACAAACCUUCAUAGUUCCAUUUCCAGCGAAACAACAACAACACACAGUAUCUCUUUGUAGCGACACGACAAGAGGUAACACGGUGGUGUCACAAUAACAUAAAGCGGUAGCAGCUUUGGUGUUCUGUAACUUACAUAUUCGAGUUUCUUUAUGCUUGUUUCAAUGCGUAUCAUAUUGUUUUGAUUAUGUACUUAGAUUUUGGUUCGAUUAUGUCUAUGAUCAUGUUAUUGUCAAUGUUGUAAUGAUGAAAUAAUAUAUUGUGUUGUUGCAUGGGUUUAUGGUGUUGAAAUCAGUUUUGUUUGUGAUGAUUAUUUGACAUCGGUGGUUUAGAUUUUAUCGUGUGCAUAGAAUUUGUGUUAAUUUCCAUUAUUGUUUUCAAUUUGGAUUGGUGUUGGGAUGCUUUGAAUUUGAGUUUUCAUGUAAAUAAGAGGAUGAAUAAUUCAUGUGCAUAUUGGUUUGGUCUUUUGUUUGUUGCAUUAAUUUAUUUUUCAUUUUAGUUGCAUUUUUUUAUUAUAUAUUUAUUGAUGCCUUUUGAUGACAACUAAACGACUCUGGUGGGGUGGUAAAGCCUUUGGCUCCCAACCACCAGGUCCUGGGUCAAACUAGGCGCACCCCCAUUUUUG